CCCUAGCAAUAUGUGUUCAUUCAAAGAAGUACAAAAGAAAAAAAUAUAGUAAACUAAAAUUUUUCAAUCUAUUCAAAAAGAAAGCAGGAAAAUCCAUAACCCAAUGUGUACUCUACCCAUACCAAACACAGUCACAAUUCACAAACACAGAGAUGAGCAACCCAACACACAUUAGCGCACACUACUAACACACACACAUAAAUUGCACUGCAUGAACCGGUUAACACACUUUAGAGUAGACACAUUUUCUCCUGUUAUAUGAGGAAAAAAUAUCGGAAAAAAAAAUCCACAUGAUAAGUGAAUUUCAAGAAAAUAUAAUAUACGGACAUACUAUUAAAUUUUACAGCAAUGUUUGAGAAGGCGGAUCUUUAACUGACUGCAACAACAUCAAUCAACAUAGAGAGAAAAUCAAACACACGAUAAGAUGAAACAUAACACAGAAUAGAGAGAAAUAAAAAAAAUAACCAUAACCGAACAUAUUUCUUGUCAAGGUCUUCAAACUCCUAAAUUAUGUUUCGCCUAGACAUAAUGUUUUCGUAAAAACUCAUCCAAUCGUCAAAUCUCAGCCUAGAAUACAUAUAACGAAUAUAUUAAAAAGAAAAAAAGAACGCCACUUAGAGCAGAGCAACAACCAAAUGAAACCGACUAUAAUUGCAUAUUUGAUAUUGUACAUAAAUUAGUAUUUUGCUUAAUAAUCACCCAAACGACCAAAAAUGACUGCAAUUAUUAGAUGAGUAGAAACGAACCAUGAGAGACUUGGUGAAGGAUAGACAAAACAUCCAACCGAGCGGUAUCAUUGCCGGAAGGGAUUGAAGGGCUUGCAUGUCAAUUGUUGUCCUAUAAAAGACGCCAAUCAAUAUUGAGAAGUAUUCUCCAUAAACCGACAUGUUACAGACUUUCCUUCUGCGAAAUAAUGCAAAGACAAUAAAUUGGGAAACCAUAGCUACUAAAUAGAUCGACACAUUUAAAAUUAAUAAAUAAAAAGAAAUCAUUUGAAUAAAAUUAAAACUGGAAAAGAACCACAUCCUAAAAAAAUUAUGAAUAUCAAGUUAAACCAAUUAAUGUAGAAACCCAUGGAAUUUUUCCAAUAGCCAACAAACAAUGUCGAGUCUCUAAUCACAAACAUCAUCUUCCCUGUCUCAGUGUAGUAAGCAAUACACGAUGAAAAUAGAAUCUAAAAUACCUGCGCUCUUUGUUGGGAUUAAUUCACACGCCAUCUACUACAUGAAUAAUAAGCAUUAAAAAGUCCGAUUUAACAAAUUCGAAUAAAAGAUUCACAAUGAUUCAAAAAAAUUCAGUUCAAUAAUAUCAGAAAGAAACAAAUAAAAACUAAGAAAAUGAGUGAAUACCGUUUUAUAUUGAUUAUGGCACUGGUUUGAGGAGGCAAUUUGAAUUCUUCAGCAGCAAAAUCUCAGAUUUCACUGGGCAGCAUACAAAGUCCUAAUAACUGGUGCAAUGUCGAAGAAUGCAAAAAAAAAAAAUGAAAAAUCUCAUAAGCCAUGACAAAUUGCAGGACACGAUCGAUGAUAUGGGAGAAGAAUAAUAAUGAGAAGACAAAACGUUUACAUGAGUGAAAACGUGGGAGUUAUU
rnacentral:lncRNA from 1 species